GGCACAGAGGAAAAAGCACUCAGGAUGGCGUCUCACUCAACGUGAAGUGAACCAAACCAUUCCUAGCAAAAUGUUACCAGCAGUAACAGUGAUGGGCAGAGGGUGCUCUUCCCAGCCAAAUGUAACGUGAGCUGACAUUCUUGUCUGAUGGAGAAACUAGAAGCACCAACAGGUGGUGCUGGCUGCAACAGGAGCCUAAUGUGGACAGUGGGUCUUCCUCCUCAGCUAGUCUGGCUGUGACUGUGGGAAAGCUCCAUCAGCUAUAUGGCUUACUGCUCUCAGAGACACCUCUGACGUUACUGCUGGAUGUCUGCUAACACCGGUUUGCUUAUCUACUGCUCUGGAUUCCAGAUACGAUGUACAAUGAGAGGAUACCGCUGGAGAACCAGCUCAUCCAGUUCCAGGAAGAGCCAAGCUGUUCCUGAGGGCAGCGAAGACUCCUGCAAGUAUUGAGUUGGGGAACUUAAGACAGUGAAAAAAGAAUGAGGCAAGAGCUUCACACAAAACUUCCCAAGGAACAUCAAAUCAGAUCAAGUGGAACUGAAAUUAUCCCUUCACCUUCUGUCAUCUAAUCGAAUUCCAUCAUUGCUAAAGCCCACUGACAGCUCUCACAAGGCAGGUGCAAAGACUUUUUCCAUACAUUCUGUGUCUUGAGUCCCAGUAAUAAAGGCAAACUACACCGUUCCAUACAGGACAAAGUGACCAAGCAGCGACUCAGGAGGUCUGCUGGGACCAUCGGGUCACAUUCUAAGAAUUGGUUGAUGAGAAGAAAAUUAUUCACGUAUAUUUAUUAUAAGUGAAAUAAUUCACUUGAUGCUGAGCUGAGUACCACAUGGAGGGAAUGUGAUGGCAGAGAAAUAUACCUUGGUAAGUGUGUAAUUAUAUAUAAAAUGUGAGAAAGAUGAGUGGGUAAGGUAGUCAACAGUUUGAAUCUAACCUUAGAUGUAAGGCUUCUUUUCACAAGCUUCUGACAAAGACUUUAACCCUUCCUGCAGGAAAGGGGUUCUAUUUCCAACCAUUUUAAAUUAUAUUUUGUUUCCAAAACAUAUAACCUACAUACCAGGAAACUGGGAAGUAUAAAAGAAUUGUCAUUGUAAAUUACAUCUUAAUGCUCAA